rnacentral:tRNA from 1 species
GUCGUGGUUCGGUGGUGGAGCAUCUGCUUGGAAUGCAAAUGGUUCCUGGUUCAAAACCUGGCAUCUCCA